GUGCAGCAGGCGAGAAAACUGACCAAUGCGCGAAAGCGUGAGUCGGUCAAUCCGAGUGUAGACCCAUCGGUUUACUUUUGUCAUGUGUACAACGCUUGGCGAAUAAUGUGAGGGCAAGACUGGUGCCAGCCGCCGCGGUAAAACCAGCUCAUAGAGUGGUGAUCAUGAUUAUUUGGCUUAAAGUGUGCGUAGCAGGGAAUUCUAAGUCCUCUGCGAAAUGUCAGGUCUUAAGCUUGACACGUGCAGAGGAUACUGGAAUCCUUGGGACUGGGAUAGGUGUAAUGUACGGUUUGGGUAGGGGUGAAAUCCGAUAAUCCAAGCCGGACAACCGGUGGCGAAGGCGUUACACUGGAACAGGUCCGACUGUGAGGCACGAAAGCUAGGGUCGCGAGCCGGAUUAGAUACCCCCGUAGUCC
rnacentral:rRNA from 1 species